GACAGAGGGUGCAAACGUUGCUCGGAAUUACUGGGCGUAAAGCGUGCGCAGGCGGUUCGUUAAGUCCGAUGUGAAAGCCCCGAGCUUAACUUGGGAAUGGCAUUGGAAACUGGCGGGCUGGAGUGUGGCAGAGGGGGGUGGAAUUCCACGUGUAGCAGUGAAAUGCGUAGAGAUGUGGAGGAACACCGAUGGCGAAGGCAGCCCCCUGGGCCAACACUGACGCUCAGGCACGAAAGCGUGGGGAGCAAACAGG
rnacentral:rRNA from 1 species